rnacentral:tRNA from 1 species
AAAUAAGAAGCAAAAAUGCAUUUAAUUUCGACUUAAAAAUUAGAGUAUUAAUAAAUACUCCUUAUUUA